UACGUAGGUGGCAAGCGUUGUCCGGAAUUAUUGGGCGUAAAGCGCGCGCAGGCGGCUUCUUAAGUCUGAUGUGAAAUCUCGGGGCUCAACCCCGAGCGGCCAUUGGAAACUGGGAAGCUUGAGUACAGAAGAGGAGAGUGGAAUUCCACGUGUAGCGGUGAAAUGCGUAGAUAUGUGGAGGAACACCAGUGGCGAAGGCGGCUUCCUGGUCUGCAACUGACGCUGUGGCGCGAAAGCUAGGGGAGCAAACGGG
rnacentral:rRNA from 1 species